GACGAACGCUGGCGGAGUGAUUAACACAUGCAAGUCGAACGGAAAGGCCUGCUUUCCCUUGUGGAUUGCGGGUACUCGAGUGGCGAACGGGUGAGUAACACGUGAGUGAUCUGCCCCCAACUUGGGUAUAAGCCUGGGAAACUGGGUCUAAUUCCCGAUAGGACUGCAGGGUGGUGCCUGUGGUGGAAAACGAUUUUCUAGUGGUUGGGGAUGAGCUCGCGGCCUAUCAGCUUGUUGGUGGGGUAAUGGCCUACCAAGGCGGCGACGGGUAGCCGGCCUGAGAGGUUGGACGGACACAGUGGGACUGGGAUACGGCCCAGACUCCUACGGGGGGCAGCAGUGGGGAAUAUGGCACAAUGGGCGGAAGCCUGAUGCAGCGACGCCGCGUGGGGGAUGACGGCCUUCGGGUUGUAAACUCCUUUCGACCGCGAGGAAGCCACCUGGUUGGAAGGGUGGUGACGGUAGUGGUAGAAGAAGCACCGGCUAACUACGUG
rnacentral:rRNA from 1 species